rnacentral:rRNA from 1 species
CCUACGGGAGGCAGCAGUGAGGAAUAUUGGUCAGUGGACGAGAGUCUGAACCAGCCAAGUAGCGUGAAGGAUGACUGCCCUAUGGGUUGUAAACUUCUUUUAUAUGGGAAUAAAACGUUCCACGUGUGGGAUUUUGUAUGUACCAUAUGAAUAAGGAUCGGCUAACUCCGUGCCAGCAGCCGCGGUAAUACGGAGGAUCCGAGCGUUAUCCGGAUUUAUUGGGUUUAAAGGGAGCGUAGGUGGAUUGUUAAGUCAGUUGUGAAAGUUUGCGGCUCAACCGUAAAAUUGCAGUUGAAACUGGCAGUCUUGAGUACAGUAGAGGUGGGCGGAAUUCGUGGUGUAGCGGUGAAAUGCUUAGAUAUCACGAAGAACUCCGAUUGCGAAGGCAGUUCACUGGACUGCAACUGACACUGAGGCUCGAAAGUGUGGGUAUCAAACAGGAUUAGAUACCCUUGUAGUC